rfam:Picea glauca, whole genome shotgun sequence.
CGACCCCAUCUCAGGCGAGAACACCUGCUGAGUUUAAGCAUAUAAUUAAGUGGAGGAAAAGAAACUUACAAGGAUUCCGCUAGUAAUGACGAGCGAACCAGGAAGAUCCCAACAUGAAAAUCGAGUGGUAGUGUCACCUUAAUUGUAGUCUAUAGAAGCGUCCUUAGUGGCGGACCGGGCCCAAGUCCCCUAGAAGGGGGUGACUAAGAGGGUGAUAGCCCCGUCGGGCUGGGACCCUGCCACACCACGAGGCAUUGUCGACGAGUCGGGUUGUUUGGGAAUGCAACCCUAAUCGGGUGGUAAAUUCCGUCCAAGGCUAAAUAUGAGCGAGAGAUCGAUAGCGAACAAGUACCAUGAGGGAAAGAUGAAAAGGACUUUGAAAAUAGAGUUAAAGAGUGCUUGAAAUUGCCAGGAGGGAAGCGGAUGGAGGUCAGCGAUGCGUCUCGGUUGGAUGCGGAAUGGCUCAAGCUGGUUCGCCACUCGACUCGAGGUGAAAACCAGCACAGGCCAUUGCAUCAACACAAGUGCGAGUGGAUUAUUUCUUGUUGGUUUGUUGUUGUGGCGGACGAGGAAUGAAGUUUGUGCCCUUGGGGCGGGCCACUAUGCACCUUCAUGAUCGUGGUGUUGGUUGGUAGGCUUUCCAUUUGACCCGUCUUGAAACACGGACCAAGGAGUCUAACAUGUGUGUGAUUCGGUGGUUUUGUAAACCUGCGAGCUGUAAGGAAGCUAAUAGGUGAGAACCCCUCUCCAUGGGGUGCAUUGUCGACUGACCUUGAGCUUGUGCGAAGGUUUUGAGUGCGAGCACACCUAUUGGGACUUGAAAGAUGGUGAACUAUGCCUGAGCAGGGCAAAGCCAGAGGAAACUCUGGUGGAGGCCCGUAGUGAUACUGAUGUGCAAAUCGUUCGUCUGACUUGGGUAUAGGGGCGAAAGACUAAUCGAACCAUCUAGUAGUUGGUUUCCUCUGAAGUUUCCCUCAGGAUAGCUGGAGCUCACGUGUGAGUUUUAUCAGGUAAAGAAAAUGAUUAGAGGAAUCGAGGGUGUAACACCCUCGACCUAUUCUCAAACUUUAAAUAGGUAAGAUGGUGCGGCUGCUCCAUUGAGCCGUGCCACAGAAUCAAGAGCUCCAAGUGGGCCAUUUUUGGUAAGCAGAAAUGGCGAUGCAGGAUGAACUAAAAGUUGAGUUACGGUUCCAAAAUGCAUGCUAACCCAGAUCCCACAAAGGGUGUUGGUUGAUUAAGAUAGCAGGACAGUGGUCAUGGAAGUCGAAAUCCGCUAAGGAGUGUGUAACAACUCACCUGCCGAAUCAACUAGUCCCGAAAAUGGAUGGUGCUAAAGCGCGUGACCUAUACUCAACCGUUGGAGAAAUUGCCAGGCUUCGAUGAGUAGGAGGAUGCGGGGGUCAUUGAGAAACCUUGGGCUUGAGCCUGGGUGGACCGAUCCCCGGUGCAUAUCUUGGUGGUAGUAGAAAAUAUUCAAAU